UUCAAUUCGGCCACACGCACAGAAUAUGCCCCGCCUCCGCCCAACGCACUGUCAACUCGCGGACUCGCAACUGACGCUGGGCGAAUUCUCUGACCGAACGCGCCUUUUUUAAACCGUCACAGUCACUUAAUCCAUCUCCUCACACAGUGGAAACGCUGGAGCUGGCAGGUCGGUGAGGACGGAACACGCUUACAGCUCAUUCAAGUGCCACUGGUCUUGCAGUAUUUCAUCUUUUCCAAACAACCGAGUAAAUUUACAGCUCAUUCAAGUGCCACUGGUCUGUUUUUGGAGAAUUUCAUCUUUAAGGUGCUGUGAGAAAGAGCCAUGUCUCCCGUGCCACCACUGAUGAUGACAUUACAAAACACGUAAUACGGUGGUUCAACUUGGCAGCAGAUAGGGGAAACUCAAGGAGCCGUCCCACUGUCA